rnacentral:rRNA from 1 species
GACGAACGCUGGCGGCGUGCUUAACACAUGCAAGUCGUACGGUAAGGCCCUUUCGGGGGUACACGAGUGGCGCACGGGUGAGUAACACGUGAGUAACCUGUCCACAACUUUGGGAUAACGCUAGGAAACUGGUGCUAAUACUGGAUAUGUGCUCCUGCUGCAUGGUGGGGGUUGGAAAGCUCCGGCGGUUGUGGAUGGACUCGCGGCCUAUCAGCUGGUUGGUGGGGUAGUGGCCUACCAAGGCGGCGACGGGUAGCCGGCCUGAGAGGGUGACCGGCCACAUUGGGACUGAGAUACGGCCCAGACUCCUACGGGAGGCAGCAGUGGGGAAUAUUGCACAAUGGGCGCAAGCCUGAUGCAGCAACGCCGCGUGCGGGAUGACGGCCUUCGGGUUGUAAACCGCUUUCAGCAGGGACGAAGCUUUUUGUGACGGUACCUGCAGAAGAAGCACCGGCUAACUACGUG